UGGAACCAGACACACUGGUGGGUGUGUUGGGUCUCUGAGCAGCGCUAAGGAAUUUCGCUGGGCAGAGUCUUUACACAGAUCCCAGAAAUAGUUCAAGUCAUGAGAAUAUGCCCAGCAUCACAGAUGUUCCUCUUGGCUGCUACGCUGAGAGAGGAAGGAAGGAAUUGUUCUGGAUGAGGCUCCUAUCACCUGCCCCACCGAAUGGGAAAAGCCCAUGAGACUUCUUUUUAGGAAGUGCUGGAGCAAUGCCUGCAUCAUCCUUACUGUUCCCAGGUCGGGACAUGGUAGAGCUGCAUGUUGUUGUGCCGUUAUGUACAAUUAAUAUGUCUUUUUUUUUUUUUCUGUCCAGUGGCCAUUGCUGGUGCCGCAGCCUGGCGCUGGGCUCUGCUCUCUGGCCUCGGCGUGGUGCAGAGGUGGCGGGGGCACAGCUACAGCACUGCAGAGCAUCACCCGACAGCAUCUCCGGGACGUCGCUCCAGGGAGCGCCUGGCCACUAUUAAACCCUGCCAAAGACUCUGUAAGGCUUUCCUGAAGUGCUGUAAGGCAAUAAGCACUUUUUUGCCCUCCUGCCACCUUGAGCAGUAACAGCAGCUGUUACCAAGCCAACAGUAAAGCAAACGAAGCCCUCGCACUGGGGCUGGGAGAUGCUGCUAAUGAUAUUCGCUUGCCACGGCUCGGAAGCGCUGGCAGAGCUAUCACGGAGCAGUUAGGCAUCCCGGCCACAGAAACGCUGGAUGUUUGUGCGGGGGUGAGUGUCCCCUGGCUAUUUGCAAAUUCUCUGCCUUUUUGAACUGGAGGCUUUAUGAGGAGAACCUGGAGAUGAUAAUAAUAUAAGAAACUGGAGACACUUUCCAGGGGCCCCAUCUAGCUCCGUCUCUGUUGCCAUGCGUGGGAGUUGCACGGGGCUCUGAGCAAACAGACGGUUCCUCCUUACUGCCUGGGUUGGCGGCAUAUGGCUUUCUAAACGUGUUUAGUUUAGGGGUUUGCAUUUGCAUCCAGCUCCCAACUUCCAGCAGGUCCCCGUAGCUGCACUUCACCUCCUUGCCAGCAUGAUGGUCCAAACGCAGUUCUUGUCUCCUUUGACUGUGUGUUCCUGUAGUACAAGCCACAGCACUAAGCUGGGCCCAGGGAAAUGUGGUGGAAUCUCAAUGCUGUGCUGGCAGGGAAAUGUGGUGGAAUCUCGGCCCUGCUGGGUCCAGGCUUGCUGCAGGGAAUCAACCCUUGUUCUGCUGCUCCCACCGAGAGCCAAGUGCUGCCGAGGCACAGGGUGUAACUGGCCAGAAAAGGAGGUUGUUGUAGGCCACCAAACCUCUCAAUGCAAAUAAAUGGCAAUAAAACAGAGCCAAGAAUAUGCAUGUUCAGUGUUGGUCAUGUCCAUGGCCUUACUCUUCCCUCACUUGACUGUUUUUAUCUUUCUAGGCUAUCAAAUAUUUGGAGCACAGAAGAAAUCUCUGUACCAGAGCUACUGCGUUGGGAUCUCUAUAGAAUAAUGUUAAUUCUUUCAAUUUCAUUCUUAUCCCAAGCAGUGAUCUUCUACCCCCAAGCAUGAAAGUAGCCUUUGUAAUGCUACCUUAGUGAACGCAGCUGCAGAAAAUUUCUCUGCCUACUAACGGGCUCUUUCGUCUAGGGUAGAAAGGCAUAGCAGGGUCCAAUGGCUAGGAGCUGAAGCCAGAUAAAUUCAAAUGAGGAAUAAAGAGAAAAGAUUCACAUUUUAAACAUUGAAGUUGAUUAAGCACUAGUUCAAAGAAAGUGGUGGAUUCUUCAUGUCCACCUGGCCCUAGAACAAGCCGAAGCACUUUCCAGAAGAUCUGCUUUAGCAGACACAGGUUGUUACGCUCAGCACGGGGUUAUUGGGCGAAAUGUAAUGGCCUGAGAUAAACAGGAGGUCAGCCGAGCUGUGCUGAUGGCCUUUUCUGGCCCUCAGCUCUACGAACAGCAUGCAUAUGAAAAUACGCGCUCUAAAGCAAGCUACUUAAAAUGCAUGCCUAACUCUAAGCGUGGAAGUAUUCUGGCUCUCUUCACUGGGAUUUGCCUGCUAAAUCUAGACUCCUGUCCUGCAGGUUUGAUCCGAUCCAGCUUGAAGUCAGUGAGGAUCUUCUCCCUGGCCACUUCAGAUUGAGCUCUCAGACAGGAAUAGUUUAGUUCAGCUCCCCAAAAUGCAUUUCAUGCUAAAACCACUCUGCUCUUGUAUGAGCACUGUGUGCUGAAGGAUCUUAAAGCAUUUUGCAAACAUUAAUUCGCUACUUAAUUAAACUUAAAACACAAUGAUCUUGAGCAGAUGAGCUUUGUGUCUUUCUUCAAGCACCAUUUAUAAAAGGAAUAGGUUGCACUUGUCAUGCUGAUAACAGUGCCUAACUUUCCCACUUACAUUGUGUUUCUAAACCCAGUUUAAGUUGUUUUCCUUCAAUACGAACAGUUUUUGGAACAGUUUUUGAAAGAAAAAUGCAAUCCAAGCACACUUAUUUAUUUUGUUGGUGGUGCUGGAAAUUAGAGUACAAACGCUUUAUCUGCAUUACAAACACUAUUACAAAGUGCUAGAGUGCUUUAAUCUAUCUUCUAGACUUUUUUUUGUUAUUAUUAUUCAUGCUUGAAGUGCUUCAUCUUAAUGCUCACAGUAGUUACCAUAGGCACACACAGCAGCACCAACCCCACUAGAGGCUUUUCUGUGUUUUGUUUUCUUUUUCCUGAUGCUCUUAUUACUUGGAUGACAUUAAAGUAUAAACAAGCCAACAGAUGUGCCCACAACCUGGUAGCUCUCUUGGUGAAAGGAAAUAAUUGCAGGAAGAGGGGUUUUGUGUGUGUUAUUAUUGGGACAGUGUCCUAAGUGCUACUAGAUGGUGAUAUUAUCAGAAAGUAGAUUGGAAAGUGUUGCCUAAAAAUCACAUGGGAGACAGCAUAUAGCUGCAGGGAAAGGCCUGAUGGUGCUGGAUUUAUGUUUGGGUUGGCUUGAUGAAUCUUCCAGCCCCUAUUCUGAAGCACAGAUAUGCCUGCCUCCCUCUGGCUGUUAACAGCUAAAGGACGAUGGAUCUGAAGCUGCAGCACAGAGGAAUUACUGGGACUUCAGCUCUCUCCAAAUGAACCAUCUGCUUAGCAGCCAAGGCAAGUUUAAUACAGCAGACCUCUGACUUCCACUAUUCAGUCCUUCCCACACAUAGAGGCUAAGCUGAUAGAUGUGGGAUAACUGCAUUUAUGGACAGUGGUUCUCUGAAGACAAAGGUCCUGAGAGGGAUGUCCUACCUCCUUUACUCGUUAUUCCCUAAAACUCAGCAAGGGACCAGCCUGAGACCUGGAGCACAGGGACAGAGCUGCUGGAGGAGUGACCACCCCGGCCAGAUGGCACACACGAUGGAGCAGAGCUCUUCCUAUAUUGCAUUUCAGGGCCAGAAUGUCACCUGCUGUAAAGCAGCAGUUGCUGCAAAUAAGUCACUUUAGAACAGGUGAAGGUCUGGCCCCCAGCAACCAGUUUUAUUCCUUGAUUACUCAGAAGGGACUCAAUCAUUUUCUGGAUCAUUUGGAAGCUGGGUGAAUGGAGACUCACAAAUGCUCCUUAUCAAAACUCCCCAAGCCAUCUUCUAUUAUCUGAUUUCCCUCUCCUCCCCCUUUUAUAAGAAAAAUCUCAUCAAUCAAACCAUUACACUGAAAUGUUAGCAUUUUAAGUGCAUUUGCUAUGUAUGGACAGAGUCAGCACACACAUCCAGCACAUAAAAAUUUGAUAAUUUCACAUUUCAAAAAGAGAUAUCAAAAGGCAUAAUUUAAUAUGUUCUCAUUGAAAAAAUCAUGAACUGUACAUUCCCUAGUACUGUAUAUUCAACAAUCUUAAUUACUGAAGCUAUUUACAUUCAGAAGAUAAUUUUCACAACUUGAAGGGUUAGAAAGAGGUGGUGGGUUGAUUCUAUUUUCUGUUGUGUUUUGAUUUUCAGUGAAGGCCAAGUCUUCUGAUUCCCUGGAAAAUGAGAACCUGAUCCACCAUCCUCCAGGACCACCACUGAACUUCAGAUUGGACCCUGAAAGUGGUGUUUGUCUUGAUCAUCUCUCAAACUGGAGAAUGACUGAAUUAAGAUAUUGCACUGGAAAAUGUCUGGCAGAACCAAAUUUCUUGGGCGGUGGGAUUUGUGUGUGGUUACUGGAUCUCACAAGCUGGUGGUUCGCCUGUUCAUGUUUUCACACUUGUGUGAUGAGGAAUGAAGUUGUGGCAGUUUGGGGAAUUCCCGAUACAGCUCAGAUGGGUCUGCAGACAUCAAUCCAGUAGAAGCGGAAGGAUGAGUGCUUGUUUGGGACAACAGGCCUUUGCAUUUGUAUAUACGUUAGUACAGAUCAGAGCAGAGGGAUAUGACAUUAUUUCAUAACCUGUAUUUUGAGCUGACCUGCUCUAUUACUGAGAUGAUGUGCUGUGGAAAUGGACAGGAACAUGGUAAUGUGUUCAUAUUAUAGUUUGGUGGACAAUCACUUCCUAACAGGAGAGCAUAUAGGUCUAAGGGAAUGUGCUGAAAUGUAUGCAAAUGAAUGUAGAUAUAUGCAAAUAUGCAAUCUACAUUUUCCCCACCUUCUUUUGCAGAGGAUAUUAGUAGGUAUGCAAAGAUCUAAAAUGAUCCAAUCGAGAGCAAUGCUGAGAGAGUGAUAGGAGGUGCAGGUACCCCAAAGUUUGAGUGAAUGUACACUAAAAUCUCUCCUCCCAUCCAUCUCU